GACGAACGCUGGCGGCGUGCCUAAUACAUGCAAGUUGAGCGCUGAAGGUUGGUACUUGUACCGACUGGAUGAGCAGCGAACGGGUGAGUAACGCGUGGGGAAUCUGCCUUUGAGCGGGGGACAACAUUUGGAAACGAAUGCUAAUACCGCAUAAAAACUUUAAACACAAGUUUUAAGUUUGAAAGAUGCAAUUGCAUCACUCAAAGAUGAUCCCGCGUUGUAUUAGCUAGUUGGUGAGGUAAAGGCUCACCAAGGCGAUGAUACAUAGCCGACCUGAGAGGGUGAUCGGCCACAGUGGGACUGAGACACGGCCCAAACUCCUACGGGAGGCAGCAGUAGGGAAUCUUCGGCGAUGGACGAAAGUCUGACCGAGCAACGCCGCGUGAGUGAAGAAGGUUUUCGGAUCGUAAAACUCUGUUGGUAGAGAAGAACGUUGGUGAGAGUGGAAAGCUCAUAAAGUGACGGUAACUACCCAGAAAGGGACGGCUAACUACGUG
rnacentral:rRNA from 1 species